rnacentral:rRNA from 1 species
GGGCCCGCACAAGCGGUGGAGUAUGUGGUUUAAUUCGAUGCAACGCGAAGAACCUUACCAGGGUUUGACAUCCUGCGAAUCUCUUGGAAACAGGAGAGUGCCUUCGGGAACGCAGUGACAGGUGGUGCAUGGCUGUCGUCAGCUCGUGUCGUGAGAUGUUGGGUUAAGUCCCGCAACGAGCGCAACCCACGUCUUUAGUUGCCAGCAUUUAGUUGGGCACUCUAGAGAGACCGCCGGUGAUAAACCGGAGGAAGGUGUGGAUGACGUCAAGUCAUCAUGCCCCUUACAUCCUGGGCUACACACGUACUACAAUGCUACGGACAAAGGGCAGCAAACUCGCGAGAGCUAGCAAAUCCCAUAAACCGUGGCUCAGUUCAGAUCGUAGGCUGCAACUCGCCUACGUGAAGGCGGAAUC